CACGUAGUUAGCCGGGGCUUUCUCGUGAGGUACCGUCACCGCGCCGCCCUCGUCGAACGGCGCUCCUUCGUCCCUCACAACAGAGCUUUGCGACCCGAAGGCCUUCUUCGCUCACGCGGCGUCGCUCCGUCAGGCUUUCGCCCAUUGCGGAAGAUUCCCUACUGCUGCCUCCCGUAGGAGUCUGGGCCGUGUCUCAGUCCCAGUGUGGCCGGUCACCCUCUCAGGCCGGCUACGCAUCGUCGCCUUGGUGAGCCGUUACCUCACCAACUAGCUAAUGCGCCGCGGGCCCAUCCGCAAGUGACAGCCCAAAGGCCGCCUUUCAACCGAAGACCAUGCGGUCUUCGGUGUUAUCCGGUAUUAGCUCCGGUUUCCCGGAGUUAUCCCGGUCUUGCGGGCAGGUUGCCCACGUGUUACUCACCGUCCGCCGCUGACCGAAUCAAGGCAAGCCCCAAUCCGGUCCGCUCGACUUGCAUGUAUUAGGCACGCCGCCAGCGUUCGUCCUGAGCCACGGAGUCAAACUCU
rnacentral:rRNA from 1 species